ACGAAUUUCAGAAACAAAGAAGCGAGAACAGGUUGUGUUAGUUUCCUAGACUAGUCACUCGAUAAACACCGAUAGUGUUUUGUUAUGCAACCUCUCUGUAUAUUAAUUCAACUAAAUCAUCUGUUUAAAGUUAUUAUUGCCAUCGUAACACGUACAAAUUCUGUAAUACCAAGCUAUUAUGACAGCACAUAGACAUUUUAAUGAACUACUGUACGAAAGUACAGUGAACCUUCUAUUUAGAUGGUUUGUUACAAAGCUUUUAAUGUAAGGUGAAUAUCGUUCAAAUGAAAUUAUAUAAAUACAAUAUAAGCAUGGAAAAAGAAAAGUCAAUCCUGGAUCAAGGUGAAUGGGGAAGAAUGAGUACUGUAAAAUCUCAAGUAUAAUCCACACUGGCAUAUAUAAUAAUCCUGCUUGAUUUAACUCAAAUAUUUUAGAUAAAAUAGUACUUUAUUCUUUCAUUUCUUAUUUAACGGAAUAUUACUGUUAUCAGUUUUAUGCAUUUAAAAUCACUAAAACAAGUAAAAGGUGUACAUACUAUACUUGAAAUUUUAUGGUAGAAGGAACACGGACAAUGAUUAAUCUUUUUUUAGUUGCAGGCUUUAAAAAAUGUUAACUAAAAUGUCUGACCUAACUUGAUUUGCGAUUUCCUUCAGGACUGAUCUUUCGUUUUAUCCUUAAUAUGUUUCGUAUGUAAUUUCAAAAGUUAAUCAAAGCGAAAUUGAUCUACAUGUAUCUUUUUAUGAAAAAAUAAAUUAAAGAAACUAACCACUUCCACAAUG